AUGGUGGUUAAGUCGUGGACUGGAGGGGGUAUAUCGCGCGGAUGGUGGUCUGCAGUAGCGCUACAGUUGGGGCCUGAACGUUUUUGGCCGAGAAGGAGGAGGAGGAGUAUGAGAAGCUAUACAUGCCUACAAUAUUUCAUUGGUGAAGGAAAAGUUGCAUCUGAGGAAGAGGGAUCUGACAAGUCCAGGCUAGCAGGCGUGCUCUAG